rnacentral:rRNA from 1 species
GACAGAGGGUGCAAACGUUGUUCGGAAUUACUGGGCGUAAAGCGCGAUGUAGCUGCUCCAAAAGUCGGAUGUGAAAGCCCUGGGCUCAACCUCAGGAAGUGCAUUCGAUACUGUGGAGCUGGAGUCCUGGAGAGGAAGGCGGAAUUCGUCGGUGUAGAGGUGAAAUUCGUAGAUAUCGAGAGGAACAGCCGGUGGCGAAGGCGGCCUUCUGGACAGUGACUGACGCUGAGACGCGAAAGCGUGGGGAGCAAACAGG